GACGAACGCUGGCGGCGUGCUUAACACAUGCAAGUCGAACGGAAAGGCUCCAGCUUGCUGGAGUACUCGAGUGGCGAACGGGUGAGUAACACGUGGGUGAUCUGCCCUGCACUUCGGGAUAAGCCUGGGAAACUGGGUCUAAUACCGGAUAGGACCGCCCUCUGCUGUGUGUGGUGGAAAGGUUUUUCUGGUGUGGGGUGAGCCCGCGGGCUUUUCGUUUGUUGGUUGGGGUAUGGGCUACCCAGACCGCGGCGGGUAGCCGGCCUGGGGGGGGGGACGGGCACAAUGGGAAUGGGAGUAGGGCCAGACGUCCACGGGGGGGAAGAGUGGGGAAAAUUGGACAAAGGGGGAAACCCGGAUGGAGGGAAGCCGCGGGGGGGAAGAAGGCCUUUGGGUUGGAAACUCGUUUCGCUAGGGACGAAGCUUUUUGUGACGGUACCUGGAGAAGAAGCACCGGCUAACUACGUG
rnacentral:rRNA from 1 species